AGUCAAUCAUCUGCCCUGUCGCGACAUAAUGCGAGAAGGUCCUUGUGCAGUCGACAUGGUUGCAGUCGAAGCAACGAUCCAAUAGUAAGAGACCGAGAUCGAGAGAGGGGGAGAAAGUGGGAUAGCGUUGGGAAGCGUUGGAAAAUCCGCGAGAGAGGGGGAGAAAGUGGGAUUUUCUCGUGCUGUUCUAUCUCAGAGUUCGUUGCUGCGUUGUCACCUUUAUGGAGGUGGUUUGUGUCGCGAGGAGCUCUCGCAAUCGCACUCCUGGCGCAUGCUGACAAGCUGCAUUGGAGUUGCUGCCCCAGCGUGCAUUUUAAGAUAAAAGUGGGCGUGCGCGGUGGAGCUUGAAGGGGAAGUUCACAGCUCCGGGCUUUAAUUUGGACUGCUGUUCUGUUUCGCGGUCGCACAUGGUCGAGAUCAAUUCACUGCGUCGAGGGCAGUAUGGAGAAGGGUAGCACUUUACCGGUUGGCAUCACUCAACUCCGAGGAGUUAUUGCAAUUUUGCAGUGGUGGAGUUUCAACGUACUGGUCAUCAUCAUGAACAAGUGGAUUUUCCAGAAACUCGACUUCAAAUUUCCGCUGACGGUAUCGACUGUGCACUUUAUCUGUUCGACAAUCGGCGCCCAUAUAGCAAUUAAGGUGCUGAAUGUGAAGCCACUCAUUGAAGUCGACCCUCAGGAUCGUUUGAGGCGAAUUCUACCGAUGUCAUUCGUCUUUUGUGUUAACAUCGUGCUUGGAAACGUCAGCCUUCGUUACAUACCUGUUUCCUUUAUGCAAACCAUCAAGUCCUUCACACCUGCCACCACAGUGGCGCUGCAGUGGCUAGUUUGGAAAAAAUCAUUUGAUCGACGUGUUUGGCUUUCAUUGAUACCCAUUGUUGGUGGAAUUGUGCUAACUUCCGUCACCGAGCUCAGCUUCAAUAUGGCUGGUUUCCUAGCAGCUUUUUUUGGCUGCGUCGUGACUUCGACAAAGACCAUCUUGGCAGAAUCCUUGCUUCAUGGUUACAAUUUUGAUAGCAUUAAUACCGUGUACUAUAUGGCGCCAUAUGCAACCAUGAUUUUAGCCCUUCCAGCCCUUUUGUUGGAGGGUUUGGGCGUCGUGUCAUGGAUGGAUGCUCAAGAAUCACUGCUCGCGCCCCUUCUCAUCAUAUUCCUCUCUGGAGUGUCAGCUUUUUGUCUCAAUUUCUCAAUAUUUUACGUCAUUCACGCAACAACGGCUGUGACAUUUAACGUGGCAGGAAACAUGAAAGUUGCUGUAGCGAUCGUCAUCUCAUGGCUCAUUUUCAAAAACCCAAUCUCUUUCAUGAAUGCGAUUGGUUGCACCAUUACCCUCUUAGGCUGUACUUUCUACGGCUACGUGCGUCAUCGGCUAUCGCAACAGGCAUCAGUGAAGGCAGCCAGUACUGAACUGGAGAGCGUGCAACUUCUCUCUGUGGUGAAUGAGGAGAGACCCAGCCGGCUGAUUUGAUGUUCCUGUAACUAGUUGGUUCUGUCUUGCUUUUUCUUUUCGUAUAUCUCGCUCUUCAGCCAUUUUAUUACGUCAAGUAAGGGGACUUCACGCUCCAGCACACUUCUCACUCUAGUGUGGGUUGUAAAGUCGUCUAGCAAGUUAUACAUGCGAUUAUUGUAAUAAUACCUCGAACUGGAAUAGAGUGAACCUUCUUUCUUUGGUGCUUGGACAUUAUAUUUUUCCUUUUAUGGACAGCAAUCACGGCUAAAGAAGCUAUUGGAAGCGAGAUAGUGGACAUCCUUAGAAGCCAUCAUCUCAAUAGUGACCCUGCACAGCGGUUCAUAGAAGAUAAUCGCACCAUCCGAAGAAAGUGAAAGCAGCAGGUGACGAUAUACAGAGCUCCAGAGAUGCUAUUUCAAGACUCGUUUUGUUGCUGAUGAUGAAAUUUCACCAGGUUCUCACUGAAAUCGACCCACAUCUUGCUGGCCUUAGAUGUUUUCCGCGUCCGUUAGUUCGAGUUGAGUGAGAUGCCUUAAUAAAAGAUGUAAACAUUUUGGCAAACAUUAACGACUAAUACACAGGUACAUUCUCCGGGCGGUUUAAUAGGA